rnacentral:lncRNA from 1 species
GCUUCUUGAAGAUGUCUCACCGUUGCCUCCAUUGGCUUUUGUACUAGGUAGUAAGAUGUAAAGGGGAAAGAAUUUUUAGUGAUGGUUUCUUUUCAGUGUGUUUGUCUCCUGUAAGAUUGUGGCCAGCACAGUAGCUGUGCGUCAGCAACGAAGUCUAGUUACAGGCUUCGGUGUUAGAAGGAGAUUGAGUCAGUUCCUCUGGUUGCUGUAUUUGGACUCAUCUGAUGGCCAACAUCCAUCCGGAUUUGUCUUUCUACUAACAGCCCACCUUCUGACUGACCGUGUAGGAUCAAAGGUUUGGAUGCUUUUCUGACUAACCAUCACCAGAACAGCUCAGGGAGAGAUCACUGGGUACUGUGAUUUAGUGUGAGGAGGAGGAAGGAACAGACAGGCGAGCUGAGACCAGCAGAGCAGAAUUGCUUUGGCUGCUGUGGCAUUGCAGUUUCAGUCUCAGUACUGAGGUUAAUUGUCUGGUAGCUUCAAGUACACAGCAGUGAUAAAAAGUCUGCUGAUUUCCAUCAUAGCUUCAGGGUUAGCUAGCAGAGGCUAAGCACUUAACAUGGAGGCUGCAGAAAUGGGUUUACGUUUGACUUAAGGUGGGUUUCCUUCUGAUAUUAGGAAUUCCGUCUCUUACGUGCAAGCAUUUGGCAAUAAAUAAAGAUCAACAGUGGGA